AACGCUGAAGGAGGAGCUUGCUCCUUUCCGGAUGAGUUGCGAACGGGUGAGUAACGCGUAGGUAACCUGCCUGGUAGCGGGGGAUAACUAUUGGAAACGAUAGCUAAUACCGCAUAAGAGUAGAUAUCGCAUGAUAGCUGCUUGAAAGGUGCAAUUGCACCACUACCAGAUGGUUCUGCGUUUGUUAUUUAGCUAGUUUGGUGAGGUAACGGCUCACCAAGGCAACGAUACAUAGCCGACCUGAGAGGGUGAUCGGCCACACUGGGACUGAGACACGGCCCAGACUCCUACGGGAGGCAGCAGUAGGGAAUCUUCGGCAAUGGACGGAAGUCUGACCGAGCAACGCCGCGUGAGUAAAGAAGGUUUUCGGAUCGUAAAGCUCUUUUGUAAGAGAAGAACGAGUUUAAAAUUGGAAAGUUCACACUGUGACGGUAUCUUACCAGAAAGGGACGGCUAACUACGUGCCAGCAGCCGCGGUAAUACGUAGGUCCCGAGCGUUGUCCGGAUUUAUUGGGCGUAAAGCGAGCGCAGGCGGUUAGAUAAAUCUGAAGUUAAAGGCUGUGGCUUAACCAUAGUACGCUUUGGAAACUGUUUAACUUGAGUGCAAGAGGGGAGAGUGGGAUUCCAUGUGUAGCGGUGAAAAUGCGUAGAUAUAUGGAAGGAACACCAGUGGCGAAAGCGGCUCUCUGGCUUGUAACUGACGCUGAGGCUCGAAAGCGUGGGGAGCAAACAGGAUUAGAUACCCUGGUAGUCCACGCCGUAAACGAUGAGUGCUAGGUGUUAGACCCUUUCCGGGGUUUAGUGCCGUACGUAACGCAUUAAGCACUCCGCCUGGGGAGUACGACCGCAAGG
rnacentral:rRNA from 1 species